AUGCUUUCACAACUUGACUUCAAAAUAUUUGGUUUGGAGACCAUCAAAGAUCAAUAUGUGCAUGAUGCUGAUUUUAAAGAUGUAUUGCAGAAUUGUAAAGAAGGAAGAACCUGGAACAAGUUUGUCGUUAAUGAUGGAUUUGUGUUCCGUGCUAACAAGCUAUGCAUUCCAGCUAGCUCUCUUCGUCUUCUGUUGUUGCAGGAGGCGCAUGGAGGAGGAUUAAUGGGACACUUUGGCGUGAAGAAGACGGAGGACGUACUUGCUACACAUUUCUUUUGGCCAAAGAUGAGACGGGAUGUUGAGCGUUUUGUUGCUCGCUGCACUACAUGUCAAAAAGCUAAGUCACGACUCAAUCCUCAUGGUUUAUAUAUGCCUUUGCCUGUACCUAGUGUUCCUUGGGAGGAUAUAUCUAUGGACUUUGUUUUAGGUUUACCUCGAACAAAGAAGGGGAGGGAUAGCAUAUUUGUUGUCGUGGAUAGAUUCUCGAAAAUGGCGCACUUUAUACCAUGUCAUAAAAGCGAUGAUGCUGUUAAUGUUGCUAAUUUGUUCUUUCGUGAAAUUAUUCGCUUGCAUGGUGUGCCAAAUACUAUUGUUUCAGAUCGUGAUACUAAAUUUCUUAGCCACUUUUGGAGAUGUUUAUGGGCUAAGUUGGGGACUAAACUGCUUUUUAGUACUACUUGUCACCCCCAAACUGAUGGACAAACUGAAGUAGUCAAUAGAACAUUGUCUACUAUGCUUAGGGCUGUUUUGAAGAAUAAUAAGAAAAUGUGGGAAGACUGCUUGCCUCAUAUUGAGUUUGCUUAUAAUCGUUCAUUGCAUUCUACUACUAAGAUGUGCCCUUUUGAAAUUGUGUAUGGUUUCCUACCUCGUGCACCUAUUGAUUUGUUGCCUCUUCCAUCUUCGGAGAAGGUUAAUUUUGAUGCUAAACAACGUGCUGAAUUGCUCUUAAAAAUGCAUGAGUUAACUAAGGAAAACAUUGAGCGUAUGAAUGCUAAAUAUAAACUUGCUGGAGAUAAGGGUAGAAAACAUGUUGUGUUUGCACCUGGAGAUCUUGUUUGGUUACAUUUGCGUAAGGAUAGAUUUCCUGAUUUGCGCAAAUCAAAGCUAAUGCCACGUGCUGAUGGUCCUUUUAAGGUGUUAGAGAAAAUAAAUGAUAAUGCAUAUAAACUUGAGCUGCCUGCCGAUUUUGGGGUUAGUCCCACUUUUAAUAUUGCAGAUUUGAAGCCUUAUUUGGGUGAGGAAGAUGAGCUUCCGUCGAGGACGACUUCAUUUCAAGAAGGGGAGGAUGAUGAGGACAUCAAUACCAUUGUUACACCCACAGGCCCUGCUGCUAUACAUAUUGGACCAAUUACUAGAGCUCGCGCACGCCAAUUAAAUUACCAGGUACUUUCGUUUCUUGGUAAUGAUUCUAAUGUUCAUGAGAAUAUGAUGCUGCCUAAAUUGGAUACAUUUGUUUUGCUUACAAAUGAAGGGCCUAGCUUGGAGAAGGAUGAACAUUGGAGCAAGAACAAGCAUGGAGAUGAUGGCAUGCGCAAGGGGAACAAGAACGGAGUUACCAGUGAUGAUUUCAGGACUUUGAAGCCACCAUAA
rnacentral:rRNA from 1 species